rnacentral:rRNA from 1 species
GAGUUUGAUCCUGGCUCAAAACGAACGCUGGCGGCAGGCCUAACACAUGCAAGUCGAACGUGAAGCCGCCCUUCGGGGCGGUGGAAAGUGGCGAACGGGUGAGUAACGCGUGGGAACCUGCCCUUUGGUACGGAAUAACCGCUGGAAACGGCGGCUAAUACCGUAUAACCCCGGUCCCUUUGGCGGGGACCGGGAAAAGCCUUGUGCGCCAAAGGAGGGGCCCGCGUCCGAUUAGCUUGUUGGUGAGGUAACGGCUCACCAAGGCUGCGAUCGGUCGCUGGUCUGAAAGAAUGAUAACCCACACUGGGACUGAGAACACGGCCCAAACCUCCCUACGGGGAGGCAGCAGUGGGGAAUUAUUUGAACAAUGGGGGCAAACCCCUGAUCCCACCCCAUGCCGGCGUGAGUGAAGAAGGCCUUAGGGUUGUAAAGCUCUUUCAGCGGGGAAGAUAAUGACGGUACCCGCAGAAGAAGCCCCGGCUAACUCCGUGCCAGCAGCCGCGGUAAGACGGAGGGGGCUAGCGUUGUUCGGAUUUAUUGGGCGUAAAGAGCUCGUAGGCAGUUGCGUAAGUCGGAUGUGAAAACUCAGGGCUCAACCCGGAGACGCCAUUCGAAACUGCGCUGACUAGAGUCCGGUAGGGGAGCAUGGAAUUCCUGGUGUAGCGGUGAAAUGCGCAGAUAUCAGGAGGAACACCAGUAGCGAAGGCGGUGCUCUGGGCCGGUACUGACGCUGAGGCACGAAAGCGUGGGGAGCAAACAGGAUUAGAUACC